rnacentral:rRNA from 1 species
GACGAACGCUGGCGGCGUGCCUAAUACAUGCAAGUAGAACGCAGUUUCGAACGGGUGAGUAACGCGUAUGUACCUGCCUCAUAGGGGGGGAUAACUAUUGGGAACGAUAGCUAAUACCCCAUACUGUGAGCUGGACCUGCGUUGGAUUAGCUAGUUGGUUAGGUAAAGGCCCACCAAGGCGACGAUACAUAGCCUGACUGAGAGGGUGAACGGGCAAAAUUGGACCGGGAACAGGGCCAGACCCCUACGGGAGGGAGCCGUAGGGAAUCUUCGGCAAUGGAGGGAAGUCCGACCGAGCAACGCCGCGGGAGUGAAGAAGGUUUUCGGGUUGUAAAGCUCUGUUGAUAGAGAAGCGGUAACGAAACAGAAAGGAACGGCUAACUACGUGCCAGCAGCCGCGGUAAUAC